rnacentral:rRNA from 1 species
AUUGAACGCUAGCGGCAUGCUUAACACAUGCAAGUCGAACGGUAACAGGCCUAGCUUGCUAGGUGCUGACGAGUGGCGGACGGGUGAGUAACGCGUAGGAAUCUACCUUGUAGUGGGGGA